rnacentral:rRNA from 1 species
GACGAACGCUGGCGGCGUGCCUAAUACAUGCAAGUAGAACGCUGAAGCGAGGAGCUUGCUCUUCUUGGAUGAGUUGCGCACGGGUGAGUAACGCGUAGGUAACCUGCCUUGUAGCGGGGGAUAACUAUUGGAAACGAUAGCUAAUACCGCAUAACAAUAGGUGACACAUGUCAUUUAUUUGAAAGGGGCAAUUGCUCCACUACAAGAUGGACCUGCGUUGUAUUAGCUAGUAGGUGAGGUAACGGCUCACCUAGGCGACGAUACAUAGCCGACCUGAGAGGGUGAUCGGCCACACUGGGACUGAGACACGGCCCAGACUCCUACGGGAGGCAGCAGUAGGGAAUCUUCGGCAAUGGGGGCAACCCUGACCGAGCAACGCCGCGUGAGUGAAGAAGGUUUUCGGAUCGUAAAGCUCUGUUGUAAGUCAAGAACGAGUGUGAGAGUGGAAAGUUCACACUGUGACGGUAGCUUACCAGAAAGGGACGGCUAACUACGUG